rnacentral:rRNA from 1 species
AUGGAGGUUAUCGAAACCAUGAACAAUGAAGGACGGUCAUCUAGUAUAGCGGCGGCAGUGUUUGACGAUUGUUAUUUUUUAGCAUGUGACUUUCCCAUUACUAAAUUUGAGCAUUGUAAUAGUGUAGCAAAUAGGGUCGCACAUGAACUUGCUAAGUUAGCUAGAUUUUCUUCAUUUUUGAACUGGUUUGAGGAGCCCUUGAGUGAAAUUGUAUCCCUCCUCAUAAACAAUGUACUUGUUAUCGCAAAUGAAUAA